AAGAACCUUGCCGCAAGGCGUGCGUUGAACGUCGAAGCUUCAGCGCUGUUCUUCAUUAUAUUGUGAAAUUUAUAUGGAUACAUACGUGGCUAUCAUAUUUUGCACCAUCCGGAACAUCGAGCGUCAAUAUAUGAUGUGCGACACUUCGCCUACUGGUCGUCAGAAGCUCCUCUAAAGCUGACUCGCAUACAUCAUUUCUUGGGGCCAUCUGCUGCUUCAGUUUCUUACACUUGGAUCUUCAGCAAAUGUCGACAUUGCUCUGGAUCUUACAGCACCAAUUGAGAGCACAGAGUCCACAGGUCUUCCUUUGGCAAGAUCCCUUGGAUGCCUUAUGUAACAUAAGCAUUGUGAAUGCUGACUGAGCAUAUUGCUUCCUCAUCAUACUUUUUAUAAAGAGCCUUAAAAAAAAAAAAAAAGAGGCGGGGGGGCGAUGAAUACCCAAAAGGGCGGUGCCACCUUACAAAUAUUGAGGCAUCACUCUCAAAGACAGUACAUUUGAAAUUCAAAAGACGACAAAAAUAGAGCGAUUGGGGAAUGAUUUGUUCCUAGAAGUGAUAACCAACCGGUUAAAAAGCAAUUUGCCACUUUCAAAUAAAACAAACAAACUUUGA